rnacentral:rRNA from 1 species
AGUGAACGCUGGCGGUAGGCCUAACACAUGCAAGUCGAACGGCAGCACAGUAAGAGCUUGCUCUUACGGGUGGCGAGUGGCGGACGGGUGAGGAAUACAUCGGAAUCUACUUUUUCGUGGGGGCUAACGUAGGGAAACUUACGCUAAUACCGCAUACGACCUACGGGUGAAAGCAGGGGAUCUUCGGACCUUGCGCGAUUGAAUUAGCCGAUGUCGGAUUAGCUCGUUGGCGGGGUAAAGGCCCACCAAGGCGACGAUCCGUAGCUGGUCUGAGAGGAUGAUCAGCCACACUGGAACUGAGACACGGUCCAGACUCCUACGGGAGGCAGCAGUGGGGAAUAUUGGACAAAGGGCGCAAGCCUGAUCCAGCCAUACCGCGUGGGUGAAGAAGGCCUUCGGGUUGUAAAGCCCUUUUGUUGGGAAAGAAAAGCAGCAGGUUAAUACCCCGCUGUUCUGACGGUACCCAAAGAAUAAGCACCGGCUAACUUCGUG